UGCGCAGGCGGAAAAGUAAGUCAGUGGUGAAAUCUCUCGGCUCAACCGAGAAACUGCCAUUGAUACUGCUUAUCUAGAGUUUAGUUGAAGUGGGCGGAGUGUAGCAUGUAGCGGUGAAAUGCAUAGAGAUGCUACAGAACACCGAUUGCGAAGGCAGCUCACUAAGCUAAAACUGACGCUCAGGCACGAAAGCGUGGGGAUCAAACAGGAUUAGAUACCCUGGUAGUCC
rnacentral:rRNA from 1 species